rnacentral:rRNA from 1 species
UACGAAGGGGGCUAGCGUUGCUCGGAAUUACUGGGCGUAAAGGGCGCGUAGGCGGAUAUUUAAGUCGGGGGUGAAAGCCCAGGGCUCAACCCUGGAAUUGCCUUCGAUACUGGAUAUCUUGAGUUCGGGAGAGGUGAGUGGAAUGCCGAGUGUAGAGGUGAAAUGCGCAGAUAUCAGGAGGAACACCAAUGGCGAAGGCAGCUCGCUGGGACGGUACUGACGCUGAGGCGCGAAAGCUAGGGGAGCAAACAGG